rnacentral:rRNA from 1 species
UGAGCAAUCUGCCCUUCUCAUCGGAAUAAGCGUUGGAAACGCGUCUAAUGCCGAAUACGACCUCCUUUCGCAUGAUCGGAGGUGGAAAGCUCCGGCGGAGAAGGAUGAGCUCGCGGCCUAUCAGCUAGUUGGUGUGGGUAAUGGCCCACCGAGGCGACGACGGGUAGCCGGCCUGAGAGGGUGACGCCGACAC